rnacentral:rRNA from 1 species
GAUGAACGCUAGCGGGAGGCUUAACACAUGCAAGUCGAGGGGCAGCACGAGGUAGCAAUACUUUGGUGGCGACCGGCAGACGGGUGAGUAACGCGUAUGUAACCUACCCUGUACAGGGGGAUAACCCGGAGAAAUUCGGACUAAUAUCCCAUAGAAAUAUCGGAAGGCAUCUUUUGAUAUUUAAAGUUCCGGCGGUACGGGAUGGGCAUGCGUAAGAUUAGCUAGUUGGCAGGGUAACGGCCUACCAAGGCUACGAUCAGUAGCUGGUCUGAGAGGAUGAUCAGCCACACUGGAACUGAGACACGGUCCAGACUCCUACGGGUGGCUG